UGACUAUUUCUACUGAUUUUGUACAGAUUGUAUAUAUGGGACCAUAGUCGUCAAAUCUUCAUAUUUAGUCACCUUUUUAACAAAGUCAUUAGUCAUUUAGACAUAGUACUAACAAAGCAGUGACAGGUGAUCAGUCGUUCAUUUAAGCAUUUAUAUAAGAAAAUUAUAUAUAAACAAGAAGAACAGUAAAAAUCUAUAAACUAGUACAUGUAAUCAUAUUACAGGUAUAUUUGAAAACUACCACCUCAAGAAUUCCGAUUUCCCAAUAAGUCUGCGGAUAAUUUGUACCAUUUUGAAUAUAUCAUGUUUUUAUUUAUAUUUCAUAAAGAAAAUUUGGUCAGACAGUGAAAAAAUAGUUCUGAUUGUAGACCUUUAGAAGAAUAGCACCCAGAAGAAAUAUAACCCUGCAGUGGGUGUGUUCAAGCAACUGACUGUCUCCUGCUUCUAAAGGUAUACCUACAACCCCUAUAGGCAAUACACCCAGCCCAUCCCCUUAUUUCUGUCACUCCUAAUUUAUAGUGUUUCCUCAAUCAAACAGCAGCAACAUCGGUGGAUUUUUAUUUAUAAACUUUUGUGUUAGGUCUUGUACAUGUGUAUCCUGAUAUUAUUAAAAACAAAUGAAGGAUUUAUCGUUUUCGUUAAAAAUGGAAGAUAUGUAUAUAUAAGACUAGUAUAAAAUGUAUGUACAUAUUUACAAAUCCCAUCGAACUUACCAUCCUAAUUUGAAGAGUAACCGUAUAUUUUAAGUCGAAUAUACUAUAUUAAGUGACACUGUUUCGUCAUAACUACCUCUGCUUCAUAGAUGUAUUAUUCCUUCACCCUCUCUUUCGUUUCAUCGCUCGUAUGUUUUGUUUUCUUGUACAUAUCCAUUUGAACUUCAGUUCAUAUAGAUUUUUAAAAUAAAAGUCAAAGAGGACAUGGUUGUCUGUAUUUUGUAAACCAACUACCUGCUUAUCUACUAAACCAAGGGUUUUACAAGAAAAUAUUUUUUAGUUGAUAGCGUUGCUGAUCAUAUCAACACUCAAGGAUGAGGAAGAAAUUAUUUAUUUUAAUAACAAUGAUUUUUUAUUUGUAAUUUGGAUGCAAUUUCUGGGUUUUUAAGUACAAUGUAUCAUGUUAUAGGUAAAACUAUUUUCAUUUCAGACUUUAUAAUACGAAAAUGAUAUGACCAUAAAAUAUUCAUUUU
rnacentral:misc_RNA from 1 species